CACAAUCUUGGCUGAUAUGCAUAAAACCAUUAUAUUUCAUGACACUGCAUGAAAAAGAAAUUGACUUAUCGCAUAAUACCAGAACCAGAGACAUAUAUAUUGUAUCUAAUAUCUCUGCCAGAACUAAAAAAUAAACUACAGUAAGUCCACAUACACAUAAGAGGGUAUGGAUGUGAAUUAACAGAAUAGAGAACAAAGGACAAAGAAAAAAAAAGGAAUAAAGAAUAGUGAAAGAAAGAGAAUAAUGGAAAAAAGUGUAAGUUAUUAAAAAUAUAACUAAAAAAAAGAAGACAGAAAAAAAAAAGACACCCUCCGAGACGAGCCUUACAUGCACUGUUAUUACCCAAGGUUAAUUUUACGGCGGCUCAUUUUAUUUUGGCUUAGAAAUAAACAUAAUUGACAAGUUUCCUUCCCCUGCAUUCUCGAUCCCACAUGUAAAUAGCACGGUGAUUUUCAAAAAGACAUUGAUACAUCAUUACAACACACACUUGCCGUCAGUAUUUGAAUAUAUUGAUUAAGAAGGUAUAGAAGAUUAAUGCACGCACACUAUUAUCCACCACUGGCCUAAAUAGUUAGUCCGCAAACAACGAGGGUCAUAAAAACCCAGCACUUUGAACACAGCCACCGGCAUGGUGUGAAUCUGAAAGCUUCCCACUAUCCAUUUCUACCCAUAGAAAACUUUUGCCUUUCAUUUAUCAAAAAUGAAAUAUGUUGAUAUUAAUGGUAUAUAAGAAUUAUUGGGGAAUUCAAACCAUUCCUAUUGUAAGUGAUAAAACUAAAUUUAUAUCAGGGUGAUUGAAAUGAGGAAAAAAAAGGGGGGAUCAGGAGUUCAGGGCCCCCUGUUUGGGAAAAGAAUUGGUUGAUUAUAUAUGGAAUCACUGAGUCAUGGCAGGAGCAGGCCCCUCUUAGGCAGUCGGUGGGCCCCACUUAUGAAAAAUUCUGGAUCCACCACUGUGGUCAGGUGGUGGUCUUCAGUUGUAUUAUCUUUUAAAAAAAAAAUUACACCUGUAUAGUGUAUAUUCUUUAGUGUAAAUCAAGGGAAAAUACUGUGAACUAUCUGUGCAUUGGGCUUAUUAAAAGGUAUUUCGGGGGGAAGAAAGAAGGGAGGGUGAGUCCAUGGGAGGUAAUCCCCACCCCUUUCAAUUUGAGAAUAUGCUAUUAUCUUGUAAACGGUCCAGAUCCCCAUCCCUAAACCAUAUAUAUUCUUGAAUGGGACGAUAAAACAAAUCAAAUGAAAUUAAAAGGAGGUCUUUGGGGGUUUCACCACUCUGUUCAAUUUGAGAAUGUGCUAUUAUCUUGUGAACGAUCCAGAUCCCCACCCCUAAACCAUAUAUAUUCUUGUCGGGGACAAUAAAAUUAAUAAUGAAAUAAAAUAAAAGUGAAGUCCCACCCCCUCUAGUUUGAAAACUUGUAAACGGUCAAGAUCCCCACCCCUAAACCAUAUUUAUAUAUUCUUGUAUAGAACAAUAAAACAAAUAAAAGGAAAUAUAGGGAGAGUCCAUGGGGUUCACCCCCACCCCCACAUGUUUGAGAAACUUUUAAAUGGUUGAGAUCCCCUGUCAUCCAGUGGUUAGGUGAAAAAAUUUCAGGAUCCCUGAUCCCCACCGUCAAACCAUAUAUAUUCUUGUAUGAGACAAUAAAACAAAUCAAAUGAAUAUAGGAUCAUCCCCUUUGUCUUGGGUUGGGAACCCCCCUUUUUAAAAUGGCUGGAUCCGCCCCGGCAUACCAUCUAGCUAGCUAUAAAGGCUUUAAAAAUAUGAAAUCAAACAAGGAAAUUAACAGUGUAGGCAACUGUUUUGAAUUUAAAAAAAAGUCUUUUACAUAUAUAACAAUGUUAAAUUUUUUGUGCAUUUAUUUUUGCUUAUCGUAUUUUCAAUAAUGGACAAAAUUGCAUGAUUGAAUAUUGUAAUUUAAGAAAAAUCAGCAUACAUGAUAUAAAAUGGGAAGUGGAAACUGGGAAUUUGACAAAGAGACAACAACCCAAUCAAAGAGCAGACAACGGCCGAAGGUCACCUAUGGGUCUUCAAUGCAGUGAGAAAAAUUCGGCACUGGUCUUCAGCUCAUAAAUAUGUAUCAGAAAUGAAAACGAGAUACAGCUUUCAGUUGUAUUAAUAAAAACCUCACAAUAAGUUCUGAAUAUCAGAAUAUACAGUAUUGCAAGAUUCUCUCAAAAUGUACACAUAGAGCUGAAAAACUGUCAGUGACUGUAAAAUUAAUCAUGCUUACAUUAAAGUCCAUGGAGUCCAUCUUAAUAUGCAUACUCUCGUACAAAGGAAUAUAAGUAUGCAAUAGACAUCAAGUUUUCAAAAAUAAGAGUAUCUAUGCCAUUAAUUUACGACAAGAUCUUAAUCAAGUAAUAAUUUCGGUUUGUUUAAAUAUUUCGGAGGUUAGUAUGACCUCCUCUUUGGUGAUGAUGUUUUCGUUUUAAAGUUGGGAAAAUUGUUUGUACAUGUACCAACAAAAAUAAAAACACAAAGUCAAUCUAGAAUUAUGUUUUUAUCAUUUUUUUAUGUUUAGGUUGUCAGCAAGAUGAAAAGGACAAGUAUGCAGUUCAAAAUUCAAAAUGUGGAUAAGUUGAGGUUCUAGGUCUUACCUUUGCAGAUUUUCAUAUUUUGCAUGAAUGAAAUCAAAGGUUAUAUGAUGGACAGCAGAGAAAGAAAAAAACAACUUUUCAAUUAUCCUGCUCCUGGAUAAAUGUAAAACAUCUUGUUUUUCGGUAAGUUUUAUGCUCUGUUUUGAUAGUGUUAGUGCAUUCAUCUUUCCAGUCUUUCCUCUAAAUUGUAAGUUUUUGGUGAGUGUUCACCAUGAAUUUCAGUAAGUAACUUGUGGAUUUACAUGUAUAUACUCAAAAUUUAGUACUAAUAUUAAUGGGAUUUUAGCAUGACAUCCUGCCAAAUGCUUGUUAAUCAUGUUUAUGUUCCAGAACAAACAAGUAUUUGGACUGUACGCAUACAGCCCCAAUUUUAAGAAGUUGGUCAAGUUUAUUACAAACAAAUGUACAGUACAGAUCAACAUAACUGAAAUCUUUAAUAGAUUAAUACAAAAAGUUUAAUUGCAGUUAAAAUAAAAACACAGGUUUGGUCGAGCUGGUACCAGACAGUACAAGUAUAUACUUAAAUGGUCUGACUGUACACAUAUGGUGGGACUGUAAGUUCUGGACCGUAAAAGUAAGAUCCGAAUACUGAUAUGGUCUGGAACAUUUAUACAUGUCUUAAAAUUAAUAUCAAACACAUUGGUGUUUUUGAACUUGGUAAUAAGUUAACUAUAAUGUUUUGGGAUAUCAAAAUCAAAAAUAUCCCAUUUUUACUUUUAAUAAAGAAGAAGAUUAUUGAUGUAUGUUUAAAUGUAUAUUAAAAUGAGACAGCAAGCCAACAACACAAAAAAAUAAGGAUAAAACAUACAUAUUUUUUUUGUAUCAAUGUUAUAAUUUCCAAUAUGUUCAAGGUAUUUUUUCAUUGAAAUAAAACACAAAUUGAAAUCUGUCUGAACUUCAAAAGCUUAAAGAAAUAUUGUUUCUGUUGUCUGCAUUUUGUAUAAUAUAUUGCAAAUUCUUGUGAAUAAUGGAAUGUUAUUAUAGUUGUCUAAAGUUUUAACAUUGAUCUUUAUACUGUAAAUUCAUAAAUUAUUGCGUGCAUUUAUUAUUGCGAUUCUGUCAUUUUAGACUUAAAUGCGAUUUUAAAUUUUACGAUUUUGAGAAAAAUCCUGUUUAAUCCAUAUAAAAUAUUUCAUAAUGCGAGUUUAAAUUAUUGCGUUUACAACUCCGUUGCAUUUUUCGCAAUAAAAAAAAACUCGCAUUAAUUCCGAAUUUACAGUAUAUAUAUAUAUAUUAUGUAUAUAACUUGGGAAAAUACCCAAAUGUUAUAAAGAAGAAUAAAUUAAUUGAUUGUUAUAUGGUAUUAGAAUAGGAAGAUGUGGUAUAUUGCUAAUUUGACAACCCUCCAUCAGAGACCAAAGGAUGUAGGCCGUUAGCAACUGAUGACACUGGACAACCUUUAACAAUCAGUAAAAUCCAUACCGCAUAGCUAUUUUUAUUGAAAAUCAUAUUAUUGCUACAUGUAUGAAAACAAUUUUGUAUAAUCCAUUACUUUAGAUUUUAUUGGUUCUUUUUCAGAAGGAUUGAAAUUCACCACCUAGAAUAAAUGGAGAAAACAUAGAAACAAGACCAGAAUAAAUUCAAAGACAAAAGUUGGAUCAGUUAUUAUUUUCAUCACUCAGUCAAUGAUUUGAAGUUCUUUUAAAUUCAAAAAAAUAUUGAAACCACAAUAAUGUCAAAGUUCUGUGCUGAAUGUCCAAAAAGUGGACUAUACCAUCAAACAAUGCUGGAUGAUAAGAAACUAUUAAUGUUUUGUGUUGAGGGAUAUUGUGAAAAAAAUAGAUUUACUUAAAUAGCUACUAGUAUGUUAAGCCUAACAAUAGAGUUUUUAUUGAUUUCAAAUGGCAAAUAAUUGUGUUUCAAGAAAGUAUUCUAUAAUUCAUGAAUAAACAUAUAUUGAUACUUACAUUAUCUGCUUUGUUGUUUAAAAGUUUAGUUUUGAACAGUUAAAGAACAAUAUGCUAAAUUAACAUUUCCCAAGAAAAAAAGAUAUUCAAUUAAAAAGAUUCAUCUUAUAAUAAUUUACUACCAAAUAGAAUACAUUGUAACAUACACAUUACUGUUUAUUUAUAUCUAUAUAUUUACAAUUAGAAUCCCAUAGGAUUUUAAUUUGUCCCAUGGGAUAUUAAAAAUCCCAUGGGAUAAUAAAAAUCCCAUGGGAUUUUUUUUGUCCCAUGGGACAACAAAUAUCCCAUGGGACUACAAUAAUCCCAUGGGACAAAAAAAAAUCCCAUGGGAUUUAACCAAAAUCCCAUGGGAUAAUGGUAAAUCCCAUGGGAUUUUGCCCUGUCCCAUGGGAUAUUGAAAAUCCCAUGUUUUUAUAAUUCAAAUUGCAAAAUAAAUAUGAAAGUAACUGUAGAAAACCAAUGAAAUUAUUGAAUCCCAUGUAAUUCUGCACAUUUUGGUUAUAUACAUGAUAUUGUAGCUCUUGUUUGAGGCGGCGGCGGAUUUGCAAAUGAGUGUUUUGCAAAUUAAAAGUGUCCAGUGUUAUAUAUAAAUAUGCGUAACAAAUUAUUUGCGUUAUUUUCUUUUAAUAUUGCUGCAACUAUCCUCUUUUAAUAUUUAGAAUUAUGAAAUUAAUAAAAAAAUGUCAUAAUUUCAAUUUAUUCUAUAAAUGAAUGUGUAGAAUGUCACGCACUAGUAGAUUCUAGCGCGGUUUUGCUCGCACACCACCGGAUAACUUUUUUUCAAUCCGUUCAUGUCCGUUAGACGUCCGUUCUUAUUCGUUAGGCGUCCGUCCAUAUCCGUUAGACGUCCGUUAAGCGUCCGUUUUAUCCGUUGACGUCCGUUCUGUCCGGUGGAAAAUUUUGAGCAUGUUUAAAACUUUGAACGGACGUCCAACGGAUAAAAUUUCCGUUGAACGUCCGUUAGGCGUCCGUUUUGUACGGUACUCGUCCGUUUUGUAUCCGUUACGUGUCCGUUAUGCAUCCGUUGGAGAUCCGGUAGACCAAUUCACCCAAACUCCCCGGCAGUUCCAGUUCCAAUCCGCAUACGGGCCCGAAUACUACUCUACACUUGAUGGAGUAAAGGAAAAAAGUUCCGGAACGGAAACGAUCACUGUACGGAGUUUGCAAUUCACCAACGGACGUCUUUCGGACGCCUAACGGACGCCGAACGGAUAAAACGGAUGUGAAACGGAAAUUAACGGAAGGAUAACGGAUAAAACGGAUGCCUACCGGAUGUAAAAUGGACAAAUGCCAAUUGAAAUUUCUCAUGGUUUAUUGCCUUUAAUUUUUAGAUGGUUUAUUGCCUUUAAUUUUCAGAAUAUUUUGUUCAUCCGUUUUAUCCGUUACGCUUCCGUUAGGUGUCCGUUUUAUCCGGUACUCGUCCGUUGGAUGUACGUUCGACGUCCGUUCUGUCCGGUACGUAUCCGUUUCACGUACGUUCAAUGUCCGUUGUGUGUCCGUUAGACAUUCGUUGCAUGUCCGUUAGUACACCAGCGGACUUCCAACGGAUAACUUUUUUUAUCCGUUAGGCGUCCGUUCGAGCUAUCCGAUAAGGUGUGGCCGAUGCUUUACAUCAUAAGAUAUUUAUCGAUUUAACGAUUUAACGAUUUAUCAGAAAACACUCAGACACAUCCUAUGACCAUCCUAAAUAAGAUCCUAAGAAACAUGUCUUAUGACAUAGUGUAGGAUACUCACACUAACACGGACCCUCAGAUCACUGAAAGUAAACGAACAAGGAAUUCGAACCAAGCAAAGGUUAAUUAUAAUAUUUAUGCGUAUUACUAAGAAUCUCAGUACGAUUUUUCAUAACUUGCGUCGUAAACUUAAGACCCCUCGCGACAUGACUUAUGAUGGUCUUAUGAUUGUCAACUAAAAUUUUGAUUACUUUUAAUGUAUAAUUUUAUGUUAAUUGCAAUAAAAAUAUUUGUUAUGUUAUUCGGUUAGCUAAAUGGUAAAGAUUUUACUUUUCUCAACUACGUCAACUAAAAUUUGAAUCUCCUGCGACAUACAAUUUUUGAAUUCUUUUCUUGCUCAUGGUUUAGCCAGUGAACAGAUAUAUCAUGUUAAGGAGGGGUAUUUGCGAAAUAUACCAGUCGAGAGAAUGUUAAAUUUCACGAGCCGUAAGGCGAGGGAAAUUCAUUCUCAAGACAGGUAUUUUUCGCAAAUAUCCCUCAAUAACAUGAUAUAUCUGUUUAAUUACACCGAAUGUUCAUGUACUAAAACGCAUUGCUGAUCUUGACGUUACAAGCGUCCAGUUGGAUAGAGUAUUUUUUGGCAAAUACCACGGCAGAGAGGGUAAAAAAGGCAUAUCCUUUUAGCAAAUACCCGGCGGCGUUAAAAAUGAACGAUAUUCAUUCGAUAACAGUAAAUUGGUGAAAAAUACACUUGCUAUCAACCAAUCAAAAACCCGGAUUCUUACAUAAGCUAUAAACUAUAUAAGAUAUCUUAUAAACUUUAUGAGAUAUCUUAUAAACUGAAUAAGAUAUCUCCUAUAAUAUAAAAGAUAUCUCCUAUAAUAUAUAAGAUAUCUUAUAUUAUUUUAUUUCCAGAAUGGUAAUAAUUAAUUUGUUCAUACUUUUCUUUUUUAUAUUUAAUCAUUUAUAUAAAAUGAUAGAAAAUAAUGUUCACUUAUGACAGUCAUAAGAGCAUUAUAGCUAUGACUCUCUUAAGACAGCUUUGAUUUACAUCCUAUGAUAGGCAUAAGAUGAUCAUAACAUAUGUCUUGAGAUAUGUCUCUUAUGAUACUUUCGAAAACCAGGGGCCGUGUCAAUGAAAAGUAUCCUAGGAUAUGUUCUAAGAUAGGUCUUAGGACAUUAUUUAGGAUGGUCUUAGGACGUGUCUGAGACAUGUCUUAGGAUGUAAAACAAAGCUGUCCUAGGACUGUCCUAACUACGAUGGUCCUAGGACCAUUCUUACUCAUUUAUUUAAUUGAAAAUAUAUGUAGAGAUUUGUAUGACAUAGAUUGAAUUGUAUUGUAUAUGUAAAGAGAGGGAGGAUGACUCUUAUAUAGAAAUCAAUUAACGCAAAAUAAAAGUUUAAUUUUUUACGGAAUACUAAUAAAUACGUUAUUAAAUAUGAUAAAAGAUAUAAAUGAAUCUAAUACGAAAACAAAAGUAAAUGAUCACAAAAUGGUCACAAAACUUUGUGAUAUUCGUGGUGCAAUUUUAGUACAUAAACUAGUUUUGUACACUCGAUUUCAAUACAUGUAUCGAAUCAGGAUUAGGUAAAAAGAGAAGUAAACUUUUUCCCAUAUUUGAAUUAUUUAAAAAUAUGUUGCUUAUGAGGAUAGUAUUGUUUAGGCUUCAAAAAAGGCAGCACGAAAUAAUUUAAUAUAAUACAAUUAAAUCUUUAACAAACAUUAAACAAUAUUUUUUUAUUAUUAACUUUAUCUAAUGAUAGUUUAAUAUUGUAUUAGUAUUUUUAGUAUUGAGUUUAUGCCAUAUUUGUUGUUUUUAUUACAUUUUAGGACAUCGUAACUUUUAGGACUAUCCUAAGACACCUAAUUGUAUAUCCUAACUUUAGGACCAAGUUUAGGACAUAUCUUAGUUUAGGAGACUUUCGUUAACCCGACUUAGGACUAAGACGUGUCCUAAGACCAUCCUAAGACAUGUCUUAGUCCUAGGACAGCUUCGUUGUGACACGGCCCCAGGAUGGUCUUAGGACACGUCUAAGUCCUAAGUCAGGUUAAUAUGUCCUAAAACGUAAUAAAAACAAGAAGGUGUCCAAAGUACACGGAUGCCCCCACUCGCAUUAUCUUUUGCAUGUUCCAUGGACCGUGAAAUUGGGUAAUAAUCUAAUUUGGUAUUACAAUUAGAAAGAUUAUACUUUAGGGAACCGCAUAUGUACUAAGUUUCAAUUUGAUUGGACAAUUUCAUCAAAAACUACCUUGACCAAAAACUUUAACGUGAAACUCCCACUUUCAUUAUCUAUGUUUAGCGGACCGUGAAAUUGAAGUCAAAAGUCUAAUUUGGCUUUAAAAUUAGAAAGAUCAUAUCAUAAGCAACAAGUACUAAGUGUCAAAUUGAUUGGACUUCAGCUUCAUAAAAAACUACCUUGACCAAAACUUUAACCUGAACGGACGCACAGACGGACAAACGAACAAACGAACGAACGAACGGAGCUACAGACCAGAAAACAUAAUGCCCCUCUACUAUCGUAGGUGGGGCAUAACAACAAAUUAGGCAAAAAAACUCAAUACUAAAAAUAUACAUAUACAAUAUUAAACUAUCAUACUGUUAUGAGAAUUAAAUUAAUACAUUUUUUUAUUUUUUUUUGUUAAAGAUGUAAUUGUGUAUUACAUUAAAUUAUUUCGUGCUACCUUUUUUGAAGCCUAAAACAUACAAGCAUUAAACUAACAUUUUAGCGACUUACUAAAAGACGGUGCAAUAUAAAUUCGAAAAUUCGGAAAAUAUUACUUUUUUUUAACUGCUCAUUCGAUACAUGUAAUGAAAUCGAGUGGACCUGAAGACAAAACUAUUUCAUCGACUAAAAUUGUAGCACGAAUAAAUAUCGCAUUUAACAAUUAAAGUUUACUGACUAUUUACUUUUGUUUUCGUAUUAAAUUCAUUUAUAUACUUUUUAUCAUAUUAUAAAACAACGUUAUUUAUUAGAAUAACUUUAAAUCUUUAACUUUUAUUUUGCGUUAAUUGUUUUCCUUAUAAAAGUNCCAAUCAUCAUUUGAAUUUGGCAAUUGAUCUUUAAUAAUUAGGACUAAUUGGUGAUGGCAGAGAAUAAGUCGCUGGUGAUGGUUAAAAACAUAUAGAAGUAAACUUUGCAAAAAAAAAGGUUUCCUCGGAAAAAAUUAUGAAAAUAUAUGAAUAUGCUAAAUAUUUUUUUUUUCCGAAAUAAUAAUUAAAGACGUUUAGAAAUAACAAAUUUUUCACAGUUGGGAAAUUUUCAAUUCAAGUUAUUUCAUUUUGAAAACGUUGAAAAAUAUAGAUCUUAUUAUAUGUUAAAUGUGGGCCGCUUGGAGAUCAACUUGUGAAACCCUGCAUAAUUAGGGUUUGUCUACUUUCGUCUUUUUAUAUUACCAAACAUUCUAUAAUCAAGGAUUUGUACAAGGCCUUGUUAUAAUGAAUAUUAUCGCCAAUAUCACCAUAAUUAAAUAAAGAACAGAUACAAUAUUCGCCUAAAGAGUUUGCCAUCUAACAAUUCAAAAUGAAAUGUUGAGUCGAAACUGAGGUACCAAAUCUAUAAAAAGAAUCACUAUUUUAGUCGAAAUUAAACUGUAUAUAAUAUUCUUUUUUUUCAAAACUCCUGAAAUAAUUUAACAUUAUCUAUAGAGAGCUUACAUAUGCAAAUCUGUUUAAAAGUAUGUGAGCGUAAAUAAAAUUUGUUUAUUACCCCCCCCCCCUUUUUCCUUCUAUAAAAUUUAAUUGUAAACGAUUUUCGUUCUUAAUUUGUGUUUGCUCAUUAACUGGGGUUCAUGCUGUCAAAAAAAAAAUGUCUCCUUGUGUAAAAGUUAUUGAUAAGAAAAAAUUGAAGCUUCCAGAAGAAUAACGGUACGUCUAAACACCGCUUGAAGGACCUCCUGAUUGCACUCAUGACAUACGAAGUGCACUCAGGACCCUUUAUAGUCAUCGCACACAGGAUGGAUGCAUAUAUUCUUUAUACGCUUCUUAUUUUUUAGAGUUAAAUUUGGUAGAAUUUGUAAUUCUUAGAAAUAAUAAGGGCACGUGUCACUGAUUACACAACUACUGAGCCAUGAAUUAUCCAAUCAACAAAAUUAAUUGGAUUAUCUUUAUUGUUGUUUUAUACAUUGUGUUGUUAGUACAGUGUGACCAUGCGGAAGUAAUAUUGUGACGUCUAGAAUGAAUAUCACGAUGUUUUAAGAUUUUCGUCUUUUAUUAAAAUUUCGUUCCAUAAAUUUUUAAGUUUUAUUCUUAAUUUUAUUAUCAUGUCCUGGACCAGUAAUUAAUUCUUUGCACGAGUUUGAAAAGGGAAAUAAUUAUAAAUGUUCAUACUUUAAAAGAAUUUAUAUUAAUUAAAGUUUUGUAUAUGGAAUCCGUUCUUAAACGGUAAAAAAAGCCGUACUUUUCAAACAAUCAAACUCAUAUACAUGUAGUUAGAUGUUAUUUCUCAUUUUUAUCGAACUUGUCCAGGAAUUUUAUUUUUGAGUUAUACGAAUAUUUUAAGAAAUCCGUUUUUAUUAAGUUUUUUUUCUCUAAUUAAAGUCGUUUUGUCCAGUUUCACAAGCCUGAAACGAAUUUCAAUGCGAAAAUAAAUUCUGAAAAUGAACUUGUCUCCGUUUUCGUCUCCGUUUUUUGAAAAUUAUGAUAUUUUGGGUAUAAUUAUUUCUAAAAAAUAUGUAAGUUAGAUUGUAGUAGCGAGAAAUUUAAAAAAGAAGAUGUGGUAUGAUUGCUAAUGAGACAACUAUCCACAAAAGACCAAAAUGACACAAACAUUAACAAAGAAAGACUAUUUCGAAGACAGUUUAUUGACACGAAAUCCGUUCAAACCACGACUAAGUCUUCGUGCACAGAUUUCCGUUAAGGUUAAACUGAAUAUUGUACAUAAUUGUCUUCUCUCUUGUAUAAUGGUUUGUUGAGAAUAAAGAUAUACAAAUGUAAUAAAAUUUGAUAUUCAGUCAACAUUGUGUUUGUUUAAAAACUUGAUUUAGAGAGAGAGAUAGAGAAAAGAAUCACACUGAAAAACAAAAAUCGAACUUGUUACAGAAAAAAAAACGCAACUAUAAAAUAAUUUUCUUUAUUCGUGAACUGCAAAACACAACAAAUUAAUUUACCCGUCAUCAUGAAAAAUAAACUGAAAAAGCACAUCGAAUGAGAUAUAUGUUUUAUUUUUUCUAUAUGCAAAUUCAUGUUAAAGGUAAAACUGAACUAAACAAUACAAUUCCUAAAAAACAAUAAAGAUAAUCCAAUCAAUUUUGUUGAUUGGAUAAUUCAUGGCUCAGUAGUUGUGUAAUCAGUGACACGUGCCCUCAUUAUUUUAUAAGAAUUAACAUAUCUAUCUAUCUAAGUUCGAUUCAGGCGCGGAUCCAGAGGGGGAGGGGGGUUCCGGGGGGGGGGGUUGGAACCCCCCUUUUUUUGGCCGAUCAAUGCAUUUGAAUGGGGACAUGUAGUUGAACCCCCCCUUUUUUUGCCCUGGGUUAGGACCCCCCCCCCUUUUUAAAAUGGCUGGAUCCGCCCCUGCGAUUUCAACUUCUACCAAAAUUUAACUCUAAAAUAAGAAGCGUAUAACGAAUAUAAACAUCCAUCAUGUGUGCAGAUAUGAUUACGGUAAUGGGUCCUGAGUGCACUUUGUAUGUCCUGAGUGCACUCAGGAGGUCCUGAGCGGUUGUUUAGACGUACCCGAAGAAUAAAUCAUUUCCUGAACCUAAAAUACAUUUAUCUGUAAUUAAAGAAAAUUCGCCUAAAACAUUCUCUCAUAUAUUUAAACAAUUAAUUGUAAAAUAAUUAAUUCAACGUCGGACUUUCUGUCUGUUUACUAAUACUUUUCUUGUUCAGUUUAGUUUAUACCCAUAAUAGAUGAACGGAAAUAAGUACUUUUUUUAGGAAAAUUUACAAUUAGAUGAACGGAAUUAAGUACUUUUUAGGAAAAUUUACAACUCAAAUUUUCAAAAACAAAAUUCUACACUUUUUACCUGGAUGUUUUUCUCUGUCUCGAAGCCGCAACCUUUGACCCCGUAUCAAACGUAGCGUUUGACUAGAUGGUUAGUCACAUUUACUCAUUAUGACUAUGUUGGAAGUUGUAUUCAUCGUUAUGACAAAUUGGAUUGUUCAAUUGACUAUGCAUUUGUCAGUUACAAUUGAAUGCAUCCAUAUGACUGAUUAAAUAUCAAGUGACCAUGUAGUCAACAUGAUUACUGUGAAUAGUCAGACUGUUAGACUGUUAUUUUUAUUUGUGUUGUGUUUUUUUUGUUCACCAUUUAAUUUUGUGUGUGUUCAUUCGUUUCGUGUUAUGGUUCAUGUUCUUCUGUUAUCUACUUUUUUUGUUUCAUGGGAUUGACAAAUACAUUGAAUUAAUAUCAUUAAAAAUACGGAAGCAAUACUAACAAUGAAAAUUAUAACACUUCAAUUAAAACCUUCCUAUAUUUUAAGUUUUGAUGUGUAACUAUUACUCAAGACAUAUAUUAAGUCUAAAAAUAAAUAAAGAAAAUAAAUUUAUUAUAACUCAUUGUUAAUUGAAGGUUUAUUUCUGAUAUUUUGUCGAUCAACUCUGAUGUGUCAGUGGGUAUUCUCUAAAAAAAUCUCUCAGCUAUACAAAUAGCAAUGUCUUCAUUUGCUGAAAAAUAUAAUUAUAUCAUUUUAGAAGCUUAAAUAUAACAAUGACCAAGUAUAUCAGUCAUGUUAAAAGUUUAAGAAAAAACUAAUUUUAAAAUCUUUGAUCUAGUGAUUAAUCACUCAUCUUAUACCAUUAAUUUGUAAUGUAAGCACCGGGAUCUUGACAGCCACCCAUCCUAUAUCACAACAUUGUAACAUUGUAAGUAAGCACCAGCUUGACAGCCACCUAUCUUAUACCAGAACAUUUUAAUGUAAGCCCAGAAUCUUGACAGCCACCAUCUAUACCACAACAUUGUAUUGUAAGCACCGGGAUCUUGCCAGCCACCCAUCUUAUACCACAACAUUGUAAUGUAAGCACCGGAUCUGCAAAUCUUAUACCAGAAUAAGCACCAUGACAUAUCUUAUAACACAACAUGAAUAAAGCACCAGAUUUGACAGCCACCCAUUAUAACAACCAUUGUAAUGUAAGCACCAGAUUUGACAGCCACCAUCCUAUAUCACAGCAUUGUAUUAAUGUAAGCACCACGAUCUUGACAGCCACCCUGAGUUUUUAAUUCAUUGUCGUGAAUAUCGAUUACAGUGUUUAUUUUUAACAGUUUUUGCUCAGGUGAAAAAAGAUAUCGCUAAAUACUCUUUUCAAUCGACAAUACGUUGUAUGUGUAUCAAAAUUGAUAUCCCGUAUACAUAUCCCCCCUUUUUUAUUGUCGUUAAACAUGUGCCGAUAUAACUUUCAUUUAUACAUUCUUUUUUCUUAAAUAAUUUUGUAAGUUAGAAUUAAAACAAAUAUACAUCAUACUUACUUUAAACAAUUGGUUUAUUUGACAAAAUAAGUUUCCAUGCCUUAAAUUCUGGUUUGUUUACAUCUUCACAAUCUAUGGAACAAAGGGAACGCGAAGAGUGAAACGGAAGUGACAUGCAAGUCAAAUGACUUGACAAAACUAAAUUUGACUAACUGAAUAGUCAUCGUGACUAAUUUAGAUUUUCAGUGUAGCGACCAACACCUCACAUGACGUAUUCUCGAUGUUGAGGUAUUGACAAUAUACAAUCACAUUUAUCAAUCACAUUAUCAAUAUACAGCAAGUAAGUAAUUUGGUGUUGAAUGCCAGUAGAUCAGAAUUUGUUAAUUGAACUUUACCUGUUUAAGGGGCACUAGCUGCCAAAUUCAUGUUCUUCAUCGAUUUUAAUAAAAUUCACAUAACGUGUAUAUAGUGUUGAAUUGUUUAUUAAAAUGUUGCGCACAAUCUUGGCUGAUAUGCAUAAAACCAUUAUAUUUCAUGACACUGCAUGAAAAAGAAAUUGACUUAUCGCAUAAUACCAGAACCAGAGACAUAUAUAUUGUAUCUAAUAUCUCUGCCAGAACUAAAAAAUAAACUACAGUAAGUCCACAUACACAUAAGAGGGUAUGGAUGUGAAUUAACAGAAUAGAGAACAAAGGACAAAGAAAAAAAAAGGAAUAAAGAAUAGUGAAAGAAAGAGAAUAAUGGAAAAAAGUGUAAGUUAUUAAAAAUAUAACUAAAACAAGAAUGUGUCCCCAGUACACGGAUGCCCCACUCGCACUAUCAUUUUCUAUGUUCAGUGGACCGUGAAAUUGGGGUAAGAACUCUAAUUUGACAUUAAAAUUAGAAAGAUCAUACCAUAAGGAACAUAUAUACUAAGUUUCAGGUUGAUUGGACUUCAACUUCAUCAAAAACUACCUCGACCAAAAACUUUAACCUGAAACAGGACGAACGAACGGACGAACGAACGGAGGCACAGACCAGAAAACAUAAUGCCCCUCUACUAUCGUAGGUGGGGCAUAAAAAGAAGACAGAAAAAAAGACACCCCUCCGAGACGAGCCUUACAUGCACUGUUAUUACCCAAGGUUAAUUUUACGGCGGCUCAUUUUAUUUUGGCUUAGAAAUAAACAUAAUUGACAAGUUUCCUUCCCCUGCAUUCUCGAUCCCACAUGUAAAUAGCACGGUGAUUUCAAAAAGACAUUGAUACAUCAUUACAACACUUGCCGUCAGUAUUUGAAUAUAUUGAUUAAGAAGGUAUAGAAGAUUAAUGCACGCACACUAUUAUCCACCACUGGCCUAAAUAGUUAGUCCGCAAACAACGAGGGUCAUAAAAACCCAGCACUUUGAACACAGC
rnacentral:lncRNA from 1 species